GAUGAACGCUGGCGGCGUGCUUAACACAUGCAAGUCGAACGAUGAUGCCCAGCUUGCUGGGUGGAUUAGUGGCGAACGGGUGAGUAACACGUGAGUAACCUGCCCUUGACUCUGGGAUAAGCCUGGGAAACUGGGUCUAAUACCGGAUACGACCAUCUGGCGCAUGUCAUGGUGGUGGAAAGCUUUUGUGGUUUUGGAUGGACUCGCGGCCUAUCAGCUUGUUGGUGGGGUAAUGGCCUACCAAGGCGACGACGGGUAGCCGGCCUGAGAGGGUGACCGGCCACACUGGGACUGAGACACGGCCCAGACUCCUACGGGAGGCAGCAGUGGGGAAUAUUGCACAAUGGGCGCAAGCCUGAUGCAGCGACGCCGCGUGAGGGAUGACGGCCUUCGGGUUGUAAACCUCUUUCAGUAGGGAAGAAGCGAAAGUGACGGUACCUGCAGAAGAAGCGACGGCUAACUACGUG
rnacentral:rRNA from 1 species